UACAGAGGGUGCAAGCGUUGCUCGGAUUUACUGGGCGUAAAGCGUACGCAGACGGUGAGAAAGGUCGGAUGUGAAAGCCCCGGGCUCAGCCCGGGAACUGCAUCCGAAACCAUCUCGCUAGAGUAUGGGAGAGGGAAGCGGAAUUCCUGGUGUAGAGGUGAAAUUCGUAGAUAUCAGGAGGAACAUCUGCGGCGAAGGCGGCUUGCUGGGCUGACACUGACGCUGAUGUGCGAAAGCUAGGGGAGCGAACGGG
rnacentral:rRNA from 1 species